rnacentral:rRNA from 1 species
UGGGGAAUAUUGGACAAUGGGCGAAAGCCUGAUCCAGCAACGCCGCGUGCGGGACGAAGGCCCUCGGGUCGUAAACCGCUGUCAGGAGGGAGGAACGGUGCGUGGUUAAGAGCUGCGUACUUUGACAGUACCUCCAGAGGAAGCCCCGGCUAACUCCGUGCCAGCAGCCGCGGUAAUACGGAGGGGGUUAGCGUUGUUCGGAAUUACUGGGCGUAAAGCGCACGUAGGCGGACCAGAAAGUUGGGGGUGAAAUCCCGGGGCUCAACCCCGGAACUGCCUCCAAAACUAUUGGUCUAGAGUUCGAGAGAGGUGAGUGGAAUUCCAAGUGUAGAGGUGAAAAUUCGUAGAUAUUUGGAGGAACACCAGUGGCGAAGGCGGCUCACUGGCUCGAUACUGACGCUGAGGUGCGAAAGUGUGGGGAGCAAACAGGAUUAGAUACCCUGGUAGUCCACGCCGUAAACGAUGAAUGUUAGCCGUCGGGCAGUAUACUGUUCGGUGGCGCAGCUAACGCAUUAAACAUUCCGCCUGGGAGUACGGUCGCAAGAUUAAAACUCAAAUGAAUUGACGG